rnacentral:lncRNA from 1 species
UCCAUCCAUGUGGAAACGCAUUUUUCUCCAGGAAGAGGGUGUUAAUUACCAAUAUGAAAUGAUUUUCUGGCAACUAGAGUUGUUUUCCGUUACCAUGGACUGGUUCAAGUCUUGUAUAUAUGUCACGCCCAUCAUGAAAUAUUGCUUGUAUUUGAUUGGAGGUUCAAGUCAUCCUAUGUUUCUUUCAUUAAUUAAUUUCUCCUCUGUUCAUAAAACUAUGGUAUGAAAGAUGCAGCCAUCAAGUACAGGAAAAAGAGUUUUUCUCUGGGUCUCACAUGAGUUUGCUUAGCAAUAUAGAAUUAUGAUUCUUUUUUCAGUUCUCCAACAAGAAAAAGAAGAUUCUUUAGAGUCUUGUUAUAAAUUUAUCAUAGAACCUUUCUUGUUCAAAAUUUUCCCUGUGAAAGUUCCACGAAACUCACCAACUCCAAUUGAUUGAGGGGAGCUUUACUUUUGCAAGUGACAUAAUAUCAUCUGAUUGCAAUGAGUUGUCAUGGAGUUGAAAAUUGAAUCCAAUGCUAAUAAAGUAAUAAUAUCAUGUGUAUGUAUCUCC